CUAACACAUGCAAGUCGAACGAAGAGAGAGGGAGCUUGCUUCCUUGAUCGAGUGGCGAACGGGUGAGUAACGCGUGAGGAACCUGCAUCAAAGAGGGGGACAACAGUUGGAAACGACUGCUAAUACCGCAUAAGCCCACAACCCGGCAUCGGGAAGAGGGAAAAGGAGCAAUCCGCUUUGAGAUGGCCUCGCGUCCGAUUAGCUAGUUGGUGAGGUAACGGCCCACCAAGGCGACGAUCGGUAGCCGGACUGAGAGGUUGAACGGCCACAUUGGGACUGAGACACGGCCCAGACUCCUACGGGAGGCAGCAGUGGGGAAUAUUGCACAAUGGGGGAAACCCUGAUGCAGCGACGCCGCGUGGAGGAAGAAGGUCUUCGGAUUGUAAACUCCUGUUGUUGAGGAAGAUAAUGACGGUACUCAACAAGGAAGUGACGGCUAACUACGUGCCAGCAGCCGCGGUAAAACGUAGGUCACAAGCGUUGUCCGGAAUUACUGGGUGUAAAGGGAGCGCAGGCGGGCGAUCAAGUUGGAAGUGAAAUCCAUGGGCUCAACCCAUGAACUGCUUUCAAAACUGGUCGUCUUGAGUAGUGCAGAGGUAGGCGGAAUUCCCGGUGUAGCGGUGGAAUGCGUAGAUAUCGGGAGGAACACCAGUGGCGA
rnacentral:rRNA from 1 species